CAUUAUUGAAUACGAUUGGCACUGAUGCUGACUCCUUUGUGGGUAUGUGCUCGUGUCAUCUUAUUUAUUCUUCUCUUGUGCACAUUUUGUAGUCAGAGAAUUGGAAUCUAUGCGCACUUUCAUUAGUUGCGGUCUUAGAGAUGAUUAAACCCUUCUCUUGUUCCUCUGCGCACUCUUUAUUGAGUUGUGGUCUGGGAGUUGCUUCACUGACUAUGUUUUUAUCUACACGUAUAAAGUCAUAGAAUGUUUUUUUAACUUGAUUGUGCUUGUCACGAUCGUUAAACCUAUACAACUUUCAGCAACGGAUCUCUUGGCUCUCCUAUCGAUGAAGAACGCAGCGAAAUGCGAUAAGUAAUGUGAAUUGCAGAAUUCAGUGAAUCAUCGAAUCUUUGAACGCACCUUGCGCCCUUUGGUAUUCCGAAGGGCAUGCCUGUUUGAGUGUCAUUAAAUUAUCAACCUUUCUCGCUUUUGUGGCUUGAGUUAGGCUUGGAUGUGAGGGUUGCUGGCUUUUGUGGUCUGCUCCCUUUAAAUACAUUAGUGGGAUUCCUUCUGUGGACCGUCACUUGGUGUGAUAAUUAUCUACGCCGCUUGACUUGCAGAGGUUGAGACUUGCUUAUAACCGUCCAUUGACUUGGACAAAAUUUACUUUGACAAUUUGACCUCAAAUCAG
rnacentral:rRNA from 1 species